UACGUAGGGAGCAAGCGUUGUCCGGAAUCAUUGGGCGUAAAGCGCGCGUAGGCGGCCCUGUAAGUCCGUUGUGAAAGUCAAAGGCUCAACCUUUGAAAGCCGAUGGAUACUGCAGGGCUAGAGUCCGGAAGAGGCGAGUGGAAUUCCUGGUGUAGCGGUGGAAUGCGCAGAUAUCAGGAGGAACACCAGCGGCGAAGGCGGGUUGCUGGGCUGAUACUGACGCUGAGGCGCGAAAGCCAGGGGAGCGAACGGG
rnacentral:rRNA from 1 species